rnacentral:lncRNA from 1 species
AUUGCCAAACCUCUGAGGGUUGGAGGAGGUUCACUAUUCACUGAGACAGGCAGCUGGUGGGGGUUCCCCUUGUCCAGUUGGGGCUCUGACCCUUCCUGUCCCAGCCAGCAGGACCUGAAAUCCGGGCAGUUCUGACUUGGCAGCAUGCCUCCUCAGUCUGGCACCAUCACACACCACUACCCCACCCCACGCAGCCCAGUGCUGCUGGCUCCUCGCCUCCCCCAGUCCAUUCUGCACACUGCCAGACUCAUUUCUCUAAAAAUAAUCUAAUCACACAGACAAUUACAAACUGGUAAGUGCUAUGAAACACAUAUAACAUGUAGAUCAGGGAAGGCAUCUCAGAAGAGAUGACAUGUAAGCAGAGAUUAGAAGGGUGAACGGCCAUCAUUGUGCAGCGGAAACGAAUCUGACUGGGAGCCAUGAGGUUGUGGGUUCGCUCCCUGGCCUCGCUCAUGGGUUAAGGAUCCAGCGUUGCUGUGGCUGUGGUGUAGGCUGGUGGCUACAGCUCUGAUUAGACUCCUAGCCUGGGAACCUCCAUAUGCCGCAGGUGCAGCCCUAAAAAGACAAAAGAAAAAAAAGGGGGGGGGUUGGAGAGCCCCCGCAUUGCAAGGGGGCGGGGCCAGCCUGUCCCAACUUCCUAGAGCACAUCGGAGAGGAGACACUGACUGCUGUAGGGGUCAGCCACAAAGUGUUUGCUAGGGACUUUAGCAAGAGCUGCCUUUGGGGGAGGCAGAUUCCAGAUUACAGUGGCUAGAGGAGGUACAAGCCAUGCGGGAAGCCGGACAGUCUUUGGAGGAAUCUCGCUUAAUGAAGAGAGAGGCUAAGGAUUUUUAAGACAGCAGAGGCUUGAGCAAACCUCACUGCCGAAAGGAAGACUGCUUACCUUUGUUCAUAUCCACGUAUUGAGAGGGGAGGGAGUGAUAGUGGUUGAAGGUGGAACCUCCCCCAGAGCAUGGACGGGCUGCUGGAAUCCACAGCAUGAGGCAUGGUGGGUCUGCAAUGGGACGGGAUUGUCCCAGUGAAACUGCAGAGGAAAGGGAAGCCAGCAGUGGCACACUGCAUGUCUGACCCUCAGAUCUGGGGCCAGGGUGGGGUGGGGUGGGGAGCUCUGAUCAAUUGUGCGAGGUAUCCAUGGUGUGCCCUCUGCCACAGCCAAUCUCACACUACCAGUCUGACAUUACUGGAAGCAGUGCUUGGGGGGUUUUGACAGUUGGCCCUCACCAGCUUAGGUUCAGAAGCCUGCGAAGAUGCCCAUGACCAUAUGGUCACAGGAAGGGCCAGGCAGGUGACAUAAUGGAGAAUCAGGCCAGGUGUGACAAGCAAGAGUGCAGGGGCAAGCCCUGCUGAUGGGGCGCUAUGGGAGCACAGGCGUAGGUAGCGGGAUGUUCCUGUUCCAUCUACCUGGUGGCCUGUGAUCCCUCCUGCCCCCAUUCCUUCUUUCUCCCCUUUCUCGGUUUAGGUUUUUUUGUUUGUCCCUCUUUCUUCUCUCUCAUCCUUCUCUUCUGUCCUGCUGGCCACUGACAUAGAUAAGUGAGACAGAGCUCUCACCCAAGGAGCUCACAGACAUGGGGGACGCGGUUUCGUGCCCAGAAAUCUGGUGGGUGUCGCCUACUGCCAGCACCGAGCCAGUGAGGCCAAGGACAAAAGUGCAAAGUAGCUUCUCAGACACGUGGAGGACAGGAACAAAGGGAGAGUGUGAUCCUGGCAAAGGGAUGCCACUGCCUGGGCAAAGGUGGUGAGGUGACAGACUGCUGAGGUACUCAAGUGUGGCUGAGGCUAAGGGGCCAAGGGGGUAUAGUUUGGGAGCAAGUGAGACUGAAGAGAAAGCAAGGCCCAGACCCCACCUGGCUUUGCAGGCCUCAUGAGGAAUAUGACUUUGUCCAAAGAUGACCAAGAGCAAUUGAAGGAUUUAAGGCAGAGGAGUGACAUGGUCAGAUCUACAUUUUUAAAAGGUCAUUCUGGUUAGAGUCUGACUAGAAGGGGCUGUGGUGUCCCAAGUAGAGAGACAGGGAGAUGGUGGGGAGGCUGAUAGGCCAGUUUAGUGAUUGAUGGUGCCCUGGUCUAGGCAAGCCAGUA